CUGAUAGCAAGCUGUGAGAAGACCCCAUUCUUCCCUCUCUGUCUGCCUGUCUGCUUUGCUUUCGUGUGAAUGAAAGUCAGCCAAGAGCGUCAGAUUCUCUCUGACAGUCGUGAAGCUGACACAGAUAUUAAAAUCAAUUUUCGCGGAACUUAGACUACAAGUAGGCCCUUGCAUACAUAUAGAUACAUGUGGGCCCUUCUUUCUUAUAACAUCUUGAUGCUACCAUUCACUAAGAGCCAGAAGGGCAUUAGCUCUAACACAUAUUAAUACCCUCCUUGGCUCUCACCAUAUACAGAUGAGUUAGAGUAUCACAAACACAGAUGAUGUACCAUGGGCAAACCAUCAGUAUGCAGACUUGGACUGACAUACUAUUAUGAUGGAAAUUAUGGAAAUCAGCUACUCCAUGAGAGGAUGAAAUAACAUUGUAGUCAUUUUGUGUAUUGGAACAAAUGGGAAAGUUGUCUGGCACUUCAUCAAAGUGACACUACAGAUAUAGCAAAUUUGAAGUGCCAUACGUAUAGUGAUUACAACUUUUAAAAAAAUCAUAACUUUCAUAUUUGUUUGCCCAAUUUCAUUCAAACUUUCACCAGUCUGCUUUUCUGAUUUGUCUGCUCUCUUUAAGAAAAGUUCACUAUUAAUUUUAGGUUGGAUUUCCCUUUAACCUUCAAUUAUUUUUUCCAUGUGCCCCAUUAAGUAUAUUCAUCAAAAAUUAGUUUAAAGAGGGAAGGAGAAUGAACUUAGGCCAACAAAAGAGAAAUUAAUAUCCUCAACUCCUUGCCUCUAGGGACGUUUUCUGCGGCCUUUUCAGACCAAUAGGAGCAGAAAAAUUAGUUUGCCUUUUGUGGCUAUGUUGGUCUGCUCGAUACGUAUUUGAGGUCUUACAAUACCCAGCUAAUUAUCAAACUGGUCCCCUGUGUACUGUAUGUUGUGUGUGUGUGUGUGUGUGUGUGUGUGCAUAGCAUGGAAUCGUAACAUACAGAAAUUAACGGGUCAUUUACGAUGGUAUUUUACUAAUCAAUAUCAUAGUGAACUGGACGAAUGUGGACUGAAAAGAUGACCAUGGUCUGCUGAGUGCCAGAAGGGCAUUAGCCCAUAUCAUGUUACAUAGAGGUACAUUAGUGCCCUUCUGGCUUUUAAUAUAUGGCAAUGAAUAAAUACUAGAAGGAGCUUGCAAAGGAGAAAGCUUUGAAGAGGGUGGUAAUUGGAAGGGAAACACAAAAAAAUAUCAAACACAA